AUUCAGCUGAUGAGUUCCAAAUAAGACGAAAUUCGUGUCGUGGAU
rfam:Schistosoma rodhaini strain Burundi genome assembly, scaffold: SROB_scaffold0000033